AACGAACGCUGGCGGCAUGCCUAACACAUGCAAGUCGAACGAAGCCUUCGGGCUUAGUGGCGUACGGGUGCGUAACACGUGGGAAUCUGCCCUUAGGUACGGAAUAACUCAGGAAACUUGAGCUAAUACCGUAUGAUGUCUUCGGACCAAAGAUUUAUCGCCUAAGGAUGAGCCCGCGUCGGAUUAGCUAGUUGGUGGGGUAAAGGCCUACCAAGGCGACGAUCCGUAGCUGGUCUGAGAGGAUGAUCAGCCACACUGGGACUGAGACACGGCCCAGACUCCUACGGGAGGCAGCAGUGGGGAAUGUUGGACAAUGGGCGAAAGCCUGAUCCAGCAAUGCCGCGUGAGUGAAGAAGGCCUUCGGGUUGUAAAGCUCUUUUACCCGGGAAGAUAAUGACUGUACCGGGAGAAUAAGCCCCGGCUAACUCCGUGCCAGCAGCCGCAGUAA
rnacentral:rRNA from 1 species